rnacentral:rRNA from 1 species
CUUAGUUGGCGGGACGGGUGAGGUAACGCGUGGGGAACCUGCCCUGUACAGGGGGAUAACACUUAGAAAUAGGUGCUAAUACCGCAUAAGCGCACAGUAUCGCAUGAUACAGUGUGAAAAACUCCGGUGGUACAGGAUGGACCCGCGUCUGAUUAGCUGGUUGGCGGGGUAACGGCCCACCAAGGCGACGAUCAGUAGCCGGCCUGAGAGGGUGGACGGCCACAUUGGGACUGAGACACGGCCCAAACUCCUACGGAAGGCAGCAG